AUGCAAGUCGAACGAUUAAAGCUCUCUUCGGAGAGUGCAUAAAGUGGCGCACGGGUGAGUAACACGUAAGUAAUCUACCCUCGGGUGGGGAAUAACGUCCGGAAACGGACGCUAAUACCGCAUAAUGCAGCGGCACCAAAUGGUGACAGUUGUUAAAGGAGAAAUCCGCCUGGGGAGGAGCUUGCGGCAGAUUAGCUUGUUGGUAGGGUAACGGCCUACCAAGGCGACGAUCUGUAGCCGGUCUAAGAGGACGGUCGGUCACACUGACACUGAAUAACGGGUCAGACUCCUACGGGAGGCAGCAGUCGGGAAUUUUGGGCAAUGGGCGAAAGCCUGACCCAGCAACGCCGCGUGAAGGAUGAAGUAUUUCGGUAUGUAAACUUCGUAAGAAUGGGAAGAAACAAAUGACGGUACCAUUUGUAAGCCCCGGCUAACUACGUGCCAGCAGCCGCGGUAAUACGUAGGGGGCAAGCGUUGUUCGGAUUUACUGGGCGUAAAGGGCGCGUAGGCGGCGAAACAAGUCACUUGUGAAAUCUCUGGGCUUAACUCAGAACGGCCAAGUGAUACUGUUUUGCUAGAGUGCAGAAAGGGCAAUCGGAAUUCUUGGUGUAGCGGUGAAAUGCGUAGAUAUCAAGAGGAACACCUGAGGCGAAGGCGGGUUGCUAGGCUGACACUGACGCUGAGGCGCGAAAGCUAGGGGAGCAAACGGGAUUAGAUACCCCGGUAGUCCUAG
rnacentral:rRNA from 1 species